rnacentral:rRNA from 1 species
CAGCCGCCGCGGGAAUACGAAGGGGGCUAGCGUUGUUCGGAUUUACUGGGCGUAAAGCGCACGUAGGCGGACUUUUAAGUCAGGGGUGAAAUCCCGGGGCUCAACCCCGGAACUGCCUUUGAUACUGGAAGUCUUGAGUAUGGUAGAGGUGAGUGGAAUUCCGAGUGUAGAGGUGAAAUUCGUAGAUAUUCGGAGGAACACCAGUGGCGAAGGCGGCUCACUGGACCAUUACUGACGCUGAGGUGCGAAAGCGUGGGGAGCAAACAGGAUUAGAGACCCCUGUAGUCCCUGUCUCUUAUAC